UAACGGCCGCGGUAACUUGACCGUGCAAAGGUAGCAUAAUCAUUAGUUUUUUAAUUGGAAACUGGAAUGAAGGGUCUGACGGCUUAUUGCUGUCUGCUUUUUAUGUUUUGAAUUUUAGUUUAUUGUGAAGACGCAAUAAUGGCUUAAAAAGACGAGAAGACCCUAUAAAGCUUUACACGGGCUGAGUUAAUAAUAGGCGGCUUGUGUUUCAUUGGGGCGAUGGGUGUGAAAAGUUAACACAUUUGUUUAGUAGACGGUCUGUUGGAUGAGAUUUGAGAUCCAUUUUAAAUGAAAGGAGGACAAGUUACUUUAGGGAUAACAGCGUAAUUGGAUCGGAGAGUUCAGAUUGAUGAUCUUGAUUGCGACCUCGAUGUUGAAUUAGGAUGUCUUUGGGUUGCAGCGGACCCAUGAGAUAGUCUGUUCGACUAUUAAAUUCCUACA
rnacentral:rRNA from 1 species